AUCUGGCACAACAGGGCAGUGACACUUUGGCAUGGCCUAAGUUACUGAAGAUUGAAAGACAGGAGUUUGUUCCUGCGUGAGCAGAGCAGCUCUGCCCUCACCCAUGGCCCUGCCACAUCCGCAAAGACCCCCAGCCGCCCCACGGUAUCCCAGCCCUCUCAGCAGGGGCCAGGCUUCUCCAAUGAGCACAGGAGGGGCUGCAGAUUGACCAGGCCUGGGACCGGUCCUCGUAGGGCAAGCCGUGUCCAGCUGUUCUUCCCCGCUCACUCCCUGUCCUCUGGGGCUGAGUGGGAUACUACCCACCCACCUUCUUGGUCACACUACCUGAGUGGCGUCAGCCUAAGUGGGGUCAGUGCUCUCAGUAGUCCCUCCUUCAGUUCAGCCUGGAGACAAGCUCCAGCCUCCACCUCCAGGGCCACUCCCUCAGAGCAUCACUCUGCUCAGAGAGCAAGUCUGGGGAAUUUCAUGCUGUCCCCUCCAGAACUUCAGCACCAACACAGUCCCAGACCGGGGAUCCAUCAGUAGCCGCAGGAGGAGCGCCAAGAUGGGGAUGGGAGGGCAGGGGAGGCAGGGUGGUGGGUUCCAGACUCAGAAGGAGGUCCAGGGAGAUCCGAUGGUGGGGAAGGAGGAGGUAAUAAGAUGGGGGACCCAACGCUGUUCCAGCUCAACUACAACAACCUGGAAGACUUCCCACCUAUGGGAACGUUGCACGCCUCACCACCACUGCAGACAGAACCAUCACGGAGGAUCAACCCAACCCCAGUCAGUGCAGAGUGGCCUCACUCCAGACCUAAGACUUUCACUUCCACCCCGUUCAGCACCAGGCCCUCCAGCCCUUCCCAGUCCCAGAGGCAGUCACUGGGGCCCUAAACGUCAAUGCGGGCAGCCCCCCUCUGUCUGCAGGAGGAGUGAGAACUGCUAAAGAGAGAGAACUGCUGACGUCUAGAACACCAUCCGUCACAGAGGAAGAGGAGGAAGAUCUAAGUCUAGAGAAGUCAGGUGAGAGGUGGAGAUUCCUUCACAGGCCUACUAAUCAGUAUAGAGGUGUGAAGUGGAUGGAGAGGGAAUAGCAUGAUAAAAAUAAACAUUGUGGUUGAUCUGAUAAAAGUAAGAUAAUUAGUAUGUUUUGUGUAAUUCACAUUUUAUUUGUGUAGGUAUUGUGUAAUAUUCUUUCUCUUUUAGGUCAGUUUAUAUAAUGUUUUAUUGGUGGAAAUAGGACUUUGCUGACCCUUGAGUUAUAUUUGAUCUAUGCAGAUGUCCUGGAAAGAGGUUACUACAGAAAUAUGCUCAACUGUGUCUACUUCUCUGUCAGGGUGCUGGAGAAUCAGUUUGAGUGAGUUCCCCCUUACUUCUUUAUUGUCAAAUGAUACUGAAUGUUUAAGACUUGAAUCCUAUGAUAAUGCUGCUCUGUAUAAUGUGUUUGUAUAUGUUUUACUGCAGCUGCACUCUUGGCUAGUUCUCCCUUGAAAAAGAGGUAGUUUGACAUCAAUGUGAGAACCUGCUAAAAGAAACCCCAUCAGUCCUGAGACCCCAGCAAAAAUAAUAUUUUUAUUUCUCUGACGUUCAUUGAUCUGCAUGUCCAGCCCUUAUAUUUAGCCUCACAUUGAAGUGUUUUACCGUGUUCUUUUCAGGACAACCAGGGCUACAAGUGGAACACAAAACUAUUUGACAUAAACAAUUGCAAUGAUGAGUUCUAUUGAAAAUUGUAAAUAAAAAAAUGUCAGCCAAAGCAAAAACCAGAUAAUACAUUUAUAUGAAUGCUAGAAAUAAAGAAAUUGUUUGCUCACUGGGAAAUGAAUAUCCAACUUGUUAGGGACAACUGUGUGGAGUUUGGAGGUUGUGACAGCAACUAUGUGAGCUUAUUACUUACCGUAUUAUAGACACUAUGUCCUGGUAUUUCCUAUUAUCUAUGUAGAAUAACCCCUUACAGUAUUAUAGACACUAUGUCCUGGGAUUUCCUAAUUAUCUAUGUAGAAUAACCCCUUACAGUAUUAUAGACACUAUGACCUGGGAUUUACUAUGGUCUUCUAGAUUAACCCCUUACAGUAUUAUAGACACUAUGACCUGGGAUUU
rnacentral:lncRNA from 13 species